UACGGAGGGAGCUAGCGUUGUUCGGAAUUAUUGGGCGUAAAGAGCUCGUAGGCGGUUUGUCGCGUCUGCUGUGAAAACCCGAGGCUCAACCUCGGGCCUGCAGUGGGUACGGGCAGACUAGAGUGCGGUAGGGGAGAUUGGAAUUCCUGGUGUAGCGGUGGAAUGCGCAGAUAUCAGGAGGAACACCAAUGGCGAAGGCAGAUCUCUGGGCCGUAACUGACGCUGAGGAGCGAAAGCAUGGGGAGCGAACAGG
rnacentral:rRNA from 1 species